rnacentral:rRNA from 1 species
UACGGAGGGUGCAAGCGUUAUCCGGAUUCACUGGGUUUAAAGGGUGCGUAGGCGGAUUAGAAAGUCCGUUGUGAAAUCUCUGAGCUUAACUCGGAAAUUGCGGUGGAUACUAUUAGUCUUGAAUACUGUGGAGGUUAGCGGAAUAUGUCAUGUAGCGGUGAAAUGCAUAGAUAUGACAUAGAACACCAAUUGCGAAAGGCAGCUGGCUACACAGAUAUUGACGUGAGGCACGAAAGCGUGGGGAUCAAACAGG